rnacentral:rRNA from 1 species
CAUGGUUGAUCCUACCAGUGUCAAAAGCUUGUCUCAAAGAUUAAGCCAUGCAUGUGUAAGUAUGAACUAAUUCAAACUGUGAAACUACAAAUGGCUCAUUAAAUCAAUUAUAGUUUGUUUGAUGGUAUCUACUACUCCAAUGACCAUAAUAAUUCUAGAGCUAAUACGUGCAACAAACCCCAACUUCUAGAAGGGAUACAUUUAUUAGAUAAAAGGUUGAUGCAGGCUUUAACCAUUGCUCUAAUGAUUCAUAGUAACUCAACAAAUCAUGCGGCCUUUAUGCUGGUGACACAUCAUUCAAAUUUCUAUCCUAUCAACUUUCGAUGGUAGGAUAGUGGCCUACCAUGGUGGUGAAGGGUAACAGAGAAUUAGGGUUCAAUUUCGAAGAGGGAACCUAAGAAACGACUAGCAAAUCCAAAGAAGGUAGCAAGUGUGCAGAGUACCCAAUCCUAACAUGGGGUGGUAGUCACAAUAAAUAACAAUAUCAGGCUCUAUGAGUUUGGUAAUUGAAAUGAGUACAAUCUAAAUCCCUUAAUAAGGAUCCAUUGGAGGGCAAGUCUGGUGCCAGUAGCUAUGGUAAUACCAAUUUUAAUAGGAUAUAUUUAAGUUGUUACAGUUAAAAAGCUCAUAGUCAAAAUUAGGGUUGGGUCAUCUAAUCUACCUACGGUGAGCAUCGAUCUACUCAUCCUUCUUUUAAAGAUGUGCUCCUAGCCUUAACUGGUCGAGUCAUUCCUUUAGUGCUAUUAUUUUGAAAAAAUUAGAGUGCUCAAAGUAGGCCUAUGCUUGUAUACAUUAGCAUAAGAUAACGUUAUAGGAUUUCUAUCCUAUUAUGGUGGCCUUUGAGAUCAAAGUAAUGAUUAACAAGGAUAGUCGAAGGCAUUCAUAUUCAUAGUCAGAGGUGAAAUUUUUGGAUUUAUGAAAGAUAAACAAUUAUGAAAGCAUUUACCAAGGAUGUUUUCAUUAAUCAAGAAUCAAAGUUGCAAGCUUGAAAAUGAUCUGAUAUCAUCCUAGUCUCAACCAUAAAUGAUGUCAACCAAGGAUCGAUGGAUGUUACUUUCAAGACUCCAUCGACACCUUAUGAGAAAUCAAAGUCUUUAGGUUCUGGGGGGAGUAUGGUUACAAGGUUAAAAGUUAAAAGAAUUGAUGGAAGGGCACCACUAGGAGUGCAACCUAUGGCUUAAUUUGACUCAAUACAGGGAAACUUACUAGGUCUAGACAUAAUAAAGAUUGAUAGACUGAGAGCUCUUUCUUGAUUCUAUGGGAGGUGGUGCAUGGUAGUUUUUAGUUGGUGGAUUGAUUUGUCUAGUUAAAUCCAUUAACGAACAAGACCUCAGCUUGCUAACUAGCUACAUGGAAAUGAUCCUUUGUGGCUAGCUUCUUAGAGGGACUAUGGCUACUUAAGCUAAGGAAGUUUGAGGCAAUAAUAGGUUUGUGAUGCCCUUAGAUGUUCUGGGUUGCACAUGUGCUACACUGAUGUGUUCAAUGAGUCUAUAGCCUUGGCUGAUAGGUUUGGGUAAUCUUUGAAAUUUCAUCAUGCUGGGGAUAGUAAGUGCAAGUCAUCAGCUCAUGUUGACUACAUCUUUGCCCUUUUUACACACAGCCCAUCCUACUAAUUGAAUGUUUAGUAAAGUGUUUGGAUCAUGGUGAUGUGGAUGGUUUGCUACUUACGACAUCAUGGGAAGUCCACUGAACCUUAUCAUUUAGAGGAAAAAGAAGUUGCAACAAUGUUUUUGUAGGUGAACCUGGGGAAG